rnacentral:rRNA from 1 species
AGCGAACGCUGGCGGCAGGCCUAACACAUGCAAGUCGAACGAACUCUUCGGAGUUAGUGGCGGACGGGUGAGUAACACGUGGGAACGUGCCUUUUGGUUCGGAAUAACUCAGGGAAACUUGUGCUAAUACCGAAUGUGCCCUUCGGGGGAAAGAUUUAUCGCCAUUAGAGCGGCCCGCGUCUGAUUAGCUAGUUGGUGAAGUAACGGCUCACCAAGGCGACGAUCAGUAGCUGGUCUGAGAGGAUGACCAGCCACACUGGGACUGAGACACGGCCCAGACCCCUGGGGGAGGGGGCGGGGGGGAAUCUUGGGAAAGGGGCGAAAGCCUGACGGACCCAGGCCGGGGAAAUAUGGAGGGUCUUAGGAUUGUAAAUUUCUUUACCGGGGGAGGAUAAGGACGGUACCGGGAGAAGAAGCCCCGGCUAACUUCGUG